UACGUAGGCAGCAAGCGUUGUUCGGAGUUACUGGCGUAAAGGGUGUGUAGGCGGUUGUUUAAGUUUGGUGUGAAAUCUCCCGGCUCAACUGGGAGGGUGCGCCGAAUACUGAAUGACUUGGAGUGCGGGAGAGGAGAGUGGAAUUCCUGGUGUAGCGGUGAAAUGCGUAGAUAUCAGGAGGAACACCGGUGGUGUAGACGGCUCUCUGGACCGUAACUGACGCUGAGACACGAAAGCGUGGGUAGCAAACAGG
rnacentral:rRNA from 1 species